rnacentral:rRNA from 1 species
AUGAACGCUAGCUACAGGCUUAACACAUGCAAGUCGCGGGGAAACGGCAUCGAAAGCUUGCUUUUGAUGGGCGUCGACCGGCGCACGGGUGAGUAACGCGUAUCCAACCUGCCCAUCACUUGGGAAUAACCUUGCGAAAGUAAGACUAAUGCCCAAUGACAUCCCACGAAGGCAUCCGAAUGGGAUUAAAGAUUUAUCGGUGAUGGAUGGGGAUGCGUCUGAUUAGCUUGUUGGCGGGGUGACGGCCCACCAAGGCAACGAUCAGUAGGGGUUCUGAGAGGAAGGUCCCCCACAUUGGAACUGAGACACGGUCCAAACUCCUACGGGAGGCAGCAGUGAGGAAUAUUGGUCAAUGGGCGAGAGCCUGAACCAGCCAAGUAGCGUGCAGGAUGACGGCCCUAUGGGUUGUAAACUGCUUUUAUAAGGGAAUAAAGUGGGUCACGUGUGACUUUUUGCAUGUACCUUAUGAAUAAGGACCGGCUAAUUCCGUG